GGGAUUGGGCAUCAAAUUGGGCAUCAAACGGGCCCAAAAUAGGCCCAAAAACCGCCCUUCGUCAAAAUAAAAUGCCUGCAAAUCCGCUAACUGCACUUCCAUGACCUGGAUCGCACCCAGGAGGUCGCCGGUUCGAGUCCGGCUAGCUCCA
rnacentral:tRNA from 1 species